CACUCAUUAACAGAUUACGAAUCGAACAUUUCCUAUUUCCAGUAGUCAGAUAUGGAUGUGAGAGUUGGGCCAUAAAGAAGGUUGAGCUCGGAACAACUGAUGCUUUCAAACUGGGGUGCUGGAAGAGACUAUUGAGAGUCCCUUGGACAGCAAGGAGAAAUCAAACCAGUCAAUCUUAAAGGAAAUCAACCCUGAAUAUUCACUGGAAGGACUGAUGCUGAAGCUGAAGAUGCAAUACUGUGGCCACCUGAUGGGAAGAGCCAACUCAUUGGAAAAGACCCUGAUGCUGGGAAAGACUGAAGGCAGGAGGAGAAGGGGAAGACAGAGGACGAGAUCGUUGGAUAACAUCAGAAACUCAAUGGACAUGAAUUUGAGCAAACUCCGGAAGAUAGUAAAGGACAGGAAAGCCUGGCGUGCUGCAGUCCAAGGGGUCGCAGAGAGUCCGACCAACUGGAUUUAGCAACCGAAGAACAACAAACCCCUACACAGUAUCAGUAACACAAUUUGGGAGUCUCAGCGGUAAAUCACUUCUAUUAAAAGAGUUAGCUUUCUAGAAGCCACUAGGUUUCUGGUUUCUCUAUAAAGCAGGUCCUUCUACUAAUGGACGUCUGCUUUCAACUUUUGUUUUAAGCAGAAGUAAAACGUGGGAUUUGCGGGGACUAGGGGGCGGCUGGAUGAACUACUGUAGACUUUUUCUGCGUGCUGUGAUGAAGAGGCUGCUCGCUGCCCUAGAAAUCACUUUCUCUUCUCCGAGAUUCUAAAGGUAUGUGAACUACCGUUCUGGCCAUUCGCAUAGGUUCUGUGAUUUCCUCGAUCACAGUCGUGACCCAUACAGACAGAGCAGCAAAUCCGAUCCUUUCCCGGUUUCUCUGGGAGCGGGGCUCGCUUCUUUCCCAUAGGCCCAUCCCCCUAUCGAGAAAAAUGCCUGGAGGAGAUUAGUGUCGUGAGGCCACCCGGGGCUGACAUUUAAGAGUUGGACAAUAAACUCGAUCGAGGUUUUCGGCAGAAACUCCGUCUGGCUCGCCUGUGCUCCGAAGCCUUCGAGCUGCCCAGCUGGGAUGCAGAGCUUGUGCUUCAUCCAGUCCGGCAUUUAGCAUGAUUUACUCUGCAUAUCAUGCAUACCCACUCCCGAGGUCAGGGGCAGCGGCCGAGAGGAGCAACCCCACGUCCAAGGAGCGGCUGCUGCAAGGGCAUAGGAGGGCUGAGAGGAGCUACUCCACAUUCGAGAUCAGGAGGGGGAGCCAGGAGGAGAUACCCCUCAUCCAAGAUGAUAACUCUUAAUGGCAGAAAGUGAAGAGGGACUGAAGAGCCUCUUGAUGAAGAGUGAGUGUUAAUCACUCAGGCAUGUCCAACUCUUUUGAGUCCCCAUGGAUUGUAGCCCACCAAGCUCCUCUGUCCAUGGAAUUCUCCAGGUAAGAAUUCCGGAGUGGAUUGCCAUUCCCUUCUCCAGCAGAUCUUCCUGACCCAUGGAUCAAACCCGUCUCUCCUGCAUUGCAGGCAGAUUCUUUGCUGUCUGAGCUGAAGAGGAAAAGAGGUGAGUGCAAAAGAUGGCUUAAAACUCAACAUUCAAAAAAUGAAGAUCAUGGCACUCAGUUCCAUCACUUCAUGGUAAAUAGGGAAACAAGGGAAACAGGGACAGAUUUUAUUUUCUUGGGCUCCAAAAUCACUGUGAACAGUGAAUUCAGUUACAAAAUUAGAAGAUGCUUGCUCCUUGAAAGAAAAGCUCUAACAAAUCUAGACAGCGUAUUAAAAAGCAAAGACAUCACUUUGCCGACAAAGGUCCAUCUAUUCAAGGCUAUGGUUUUCCCAGUAGUCAUGUACGGAUAUGAAAGUUGGACCGGAAAGAAGGCUGAGCACCAAAGAAUUGAUGCUUUCAAACUGUGGUGCCUGAGAAGACUCUUGAGAGUCUCUUGAACCCGUCAAUACUAAAGGAAGUCAACCCUGAAUAUUCAUUGGAAGGACUGAUGCUGAAGCUGAAGAUCCAAUACCUUGGCCACCUGGUAUGAAGGGCUGACUCAUUGGAAAAGACCCUGAUGCUGGGAAAGAUUGAAGGCAGGAGGAGGAGGGGCCAACAGAGGAUGAGAUGGAUGGAUGGCAUCAUCAAUUCAAUGGGCAUGAGUUUGAGCAAACUCCGGGAGAUGGUGAAGGACAGGGAAGCCCGGCACGCUGCAGUCCAUGAUAUUGCAGAGUCGGACAUGACUGAACAACGACAACAGUGGUUACGGAUGUAGGUACAAACUGUACUAUGCUUUGCAAACUGGGGGAAGAACAUCCCUUGCAGUAGGCAGCCAUCAGCCGUGGGGCAUGAACAUCCUGUCUCUGUGAUUAUUUGUGGCUGUGGACAGGGAGGUAUGCAGCCUCAUUCCAGAUGUUCAGAUACAGCCAGAAGUGAAAUCUUUGUAGCUGAGGAAGUGCUCCGAAUUGCCUCUGUGACACAUGGAUCAGAAAGAUCAUUGUUGUGUUCAAACAUAUGGAUGCUUGCAUUUCCAUCUGCUUAUUUACCCUUUGUCCUGACAUAAA